CCUACGGGGGGCAGCAGUGGGGAAUAUUGGACAAUGGGGGCAACCCUGAUCCAGCCAUGCCGCGUGUGUGAAGAAGGCCCUCGGGUUGUAAAGCACUUUCAGUGAGGAAGAACGCCUGGUGGUUAAUACCCAUCAGGAAAGACAUCACUCACAGAAGAAGCACCGGCUAACUCCGUGCCAGCAGCCGCGGUAAUACGGAGGGUGCGAGCGUUAAUCGGAAUUACUGGGCGUAAAGCGCGCGUAGGUGGCUUGAUAAGCCGGUUGUGAAAGCCCCGGGCUCAACCUGGGAACGGCAUCCGGAACUGUCAAGCUAGAGUGCAGGAGAGGAAGGUAGAAUUCCCGGUGUAGCGGUGAAAUGCGUAGAGAUCGGGGGGAAUACCAGUGGCGAAGGCGGCCUUCUGGACUGACACUGACACUGAGGUGCGAAAGCGUGGGUAGCAAACAGGAUUAGAUACCCGUGUAGUC
rnacentral:rRNA from 1 species